CUUCGCCGUCUUUAUUCAUAGUUCAUUUGUCAAGCGGGUCUCCCAAACUCAAAUAUUUGUGGCAUACGGUCGCAUCGGCCAAUUGCAAUUGAGCUGCCAAUGGCUCUGUUGCCCCAUACUUUAGCGGCGGUUCUGGUCUGUUAAUUUCCGGUCAACUCGUGUUGGUCUUGUUGUAUCAGCUACUGACUUUCAGCAGUAAUAUUCAUCUUAAACGUCGGCUCUCAUUCGAAGAGUUCAUGUUUGAAACCGGCCAGUGCAUAGUCCGUAUCACUGAGGUUAUAAACAACUUUGGCUGUUCGGUCUGUUCAUAUUCACUCAAUCUUUAGAGGCAACUUGUCGCUCGGUUCACGGCAGCAGGUGUUUCAUCGUCCACUUGGCAUUCCGUUUCUAUCGCUUUCCAAAACACGAUUUUUCCAAAAGGACAAGUUACGCGUUUUUCCUUGCUUUUUGCUCUCCAAGUGUUUUAUGUAUUUGUUCUUUUGCCUCCAACUUCCAAUUAUAUCAGACUUCGGAAAACUGGUUAUAUUCACUAGCCCCCGAGUCACUUGGUUGUCUGUAUCUCAUAACUGGAGUCAUAGAAGGUGUUCCAGUUUUCGGGCGAAAACAACCGAUGCGCAUUGGAUCAGCGGUUCGCUGAACGACUUGCUUCGUCCCUCGAGAUCGCAGCUAUCCUUACCAGGUGAACAGUCAUAUCUGCGGAAAUUUCUCGAGAGCAAAAAAGUAAAAAAUUGCAUUCUCCGUCCGGCGUCAGAGCAAGACUGCUUCAUGAUCCGCCAUGAGCAGGUAUACGAGCCACCGUCGGUAACCUACAUGCAAUCUACUGUUGAUCGUGUGGAGAAUUUAGUAUUUUGUGUGCCCUGAUUGUGCGACUGCAGAUUUGACGGGAUUCUGAUUCAUUUGAGCGUCUGUCAAAAACCUUCUCCACCGGUGUCAGAACGACUGCUGAAAAGACAGUAUUCAGAAGGAUCGCUCGAACAGCCUAUUUUAAUACAAGGUGUCCUCC
rnacentral:lncRNA from 1 species